CCCAUGCGGGGUAUGGCCUCAGUUAACGGCGAAGUUGAAGCGGCAAAAGCUCAAAUUUUGAAAUUCUAGCACUUUUCAGUUGUUUCGAGUUUGUAAUUUUGAAGAAAGGUAACUUUUGGUUUUUGGCUCUUGUCUAUGUUCCUUGGAACAGGACGUCACAGAGGGUGAGAAUCCCGUGCGAUGAGAUGCCCAAUUCCAUGUAAAGUGCUUUCGAAGAGUCGAGUUGUUUGGGAAUGCAGCUCUAAGUGGGUGGUAAAUUCCAUCUAAAGCUAAAUAUUGGCGAGAGACCGAUAGCGAACAAGUACAGUGAUGGAAAGAUGAAAAGAACUUUGAAAAGAGAGUGAAAAAGUACGUGAAAUUGUUGAAAGGGAAGGGCUUGAGAUCAGACUUGGUAUUUUGCGUUCCCUUCCUUUUUGGUUGGGUUCCUCGCAGUUUACUGGGCCAGCAUCGGUUUGGAUGGUAGGAUAAUGACAUUGGAAUGUAGCUUUACUUCGGUGAAGUGUUAUAGACUUUGUUGAUACUGCCUAUCUAGACCGAGGACUGCGUCUUUGACUAGGAUGCUGGCGUAAUGAUCUUAAACCGCCCGUCUUAAAACGGGACCAAAAAAAAAAAAAAAGCCCCAACCCCCCCAACCACACCAAAAAAAAAAAGAAAAAAGGCGAAAAGGAACCUGUAGAAAAGCCUAAAGGGA
rnacentral:rRNA from 1 species